rnacentral:rRNA from 1 species
UAGGGAAUCUUCCACAAUGGACGCAAGUCUGAUGGAGCAACGCCGCGUGAGUGAAGAAGGCUUUCGGGUCGUAAAACUCUGUUAUUGAAGAAGAACGUGCGUGACAGUAACUGGUCAUGCAGUGACGGUAUUCAAUCAGAAAGUCACGGCUAACUACGUGCCAGCAGCCGCGGUAAUACGUAGGUGGCAAGCGUUGUCCGGA